GACAGAGGGUGCAAACGUUGUUCGGAAUUACUGGGCGUAAAGCGCGUGUAGGCUGCUCAGAAAGUCGGAUGUGAAAGCCCUGGGCUUAACCUAGGAAGUGCAUUCGAAACUUCUGAGCUUGAGUUCUGGAGAGGAAGGCGGAAUUCUCGGUGUAGAAGUGAAAUUCGUAGAUAUCGAGAGGAACACCGGUGGCGAAGGCGGCCUUCUGGACAGUGACUGACGCUGAGACGCGAAAGCGUGGGGAGCAAACAGG
rnacentral:rRNA from 1 species